UACGUAGGGGGCAAGCGUUGUCCGGAAUCAUUGGGCGUAAAGCGCGUGUAGGCGGCUCGAUAAGUCUGCUGUGAAAGUCCAGGGCUCAACCCUGGAAUGCCGGUGGAAACUGUCGAGCUAGAGUCCGGAAGAGGCGAGUGGAAUUCCUGGUGUAGCGGUGAAAUGCGCAGAUAUCAGGAGGAACACCAAUGGCGAAGGCAGCUCGCUGGGACGGUACUGACGCUGAGACUCGAAAGCGUGGGGAGCAAACAGG
rnacentral:rRNA from 1 species